UGCACAAGUCAAUUGCAGAUAUAAUUAAAUAUAAUAAUUUUUUUAUAAUUGUUAUAUUUAACAAAUUUAUAUUUGAGGAAAGUCCGCGCUAGCACUACCUGAGAUGGUAGUAGUGUUCAUGUUGGAUCUAAUAAAUCCAAGCUUUAGACGACCAGUGCCACAGAGACGAGUUUAUUUAUUAAUUUGUUUAUAUUAAAAAAUAGUUUAGAAUUUUUAAAUUAAUAAAUAAGGUGAAACGCGGUAAACUCCAUGAGCUAGAAACCUAAAUUUUGGUAAGGGAGCCCAAUUUCGGGAAACAAACUUUAAUUGGGAAGUUCUAUUAUAAUAUUUUUAUAAAGAACUUAGAUAAAUGAUUGAUUAAUACAGAACGCGGCUUAUUAGUGCAAAAAAAACAGCGAAUCUGAA
rnacentral:RNase_P_RNA from 15 species